rnacentral:misc_RNA from 1 species
CACCACAUUUUAGCAAAAGCACGUCCUCCAGCUAACCUUAUAGCCCUUGAUGUUUCAGAUGAGACCAACAGACCUCCAAGCAUCUCCAGAAAUACAUAAGCAAAAUCAUCUGCCAGUUCAGAAAAGCAUCCGGCUGCAAACAAAGAAGCCUUUGCCUCCAGAAUAUGCAUCGAACACAAGCUUGAAAGGAUGAGGUAUCUAACAUCAGCACUAUCUUUUGCAAUAUGAGCCCAGCAACCAAAUAGAACUAAAGCCAGUGCUCUUUCUUCAACGUUUCCAGAGUCGAAUACUAUCUUUAUUCUAGUCAAAAGUUCUCUAUAGCUAUCUACUUUAUCCUUCGAAAGGAUUCCCUCAUCUUUUCUUCCCUGGCUCCUCAGCUGCCUCCUCUGCUUGAGCUCUGACAAGAAAAUCUUCACUAUACAAAUCUUCAUAUGUUCGUCUCCCGACUUAAAUGCAUCUGCAAGCCUAAGAAGGAUAGCAUUUGCAAAUAGCUUAUCUUCCCCCGGAAUUAAGCCAAAUAUUUUGUACUCAGCAGCAUGAAGAUUGG